rnacentral:rRNA from 1 species
AGAGUUUGAUCCUGGCUCAGAACGAACGCUGGCGGCGUGGAUUAGGCAUGCAAGUCGAACGGAACUUCUAGCUUUUUCGGAAGUUUAGUGGCGAAAGGGUGAGUAACACGUGGGUUACCUGCCCUAGGGUUCGGGAUAACCUGUCGAAAGACGGGCUAAUACCGGAUACGUCCUGCACCUUUCGAGGUGCAGGGGAAAGAUGGGGAUCCGUAAGGACCUAUCACCCUUGGAUGGGCCCGCGGCCUAUCAGCUAGUUGGUGAGGUAAUGGCUCACCAAGGCUAAGACGGGUAGCUGGUCUGAGAGGAUGGUCAGCCACACUGGAACUGAGACACUGUCCAGACACCUACGGGUGGCUGCAGUCGAGAAUCUUUCGCAAUGGGGGAAACCCUGACGACGCGACGCCGCGUGGAGGAUGAAGGCCUUCGGGUUGUAAACUCCUGUCAGCAGGGGAGAACAAGUUGUCGGUGAAUAACUGAUAGCUUUGACAGUACCUGCAGAGGAAGCCACGGCUAACUCUGUGCCAGCAGCCGCGGUAAUACAGAGGUGGCAAGCGUUGUUCGGAUUUAUUGGGCGUAAAGGGUCCGUAGGCGGCCUGAAAAGUUGGAUGUGAAAUCCCACAGCUUAACUGUGGAACUGCAUUCAAAACUUUCGGGCUCGAGUGUGAUAGGGGUAAAGGGAAUUCCCGGUGUAAGGGUGAAAUCUGCAGAGAUCGGGAGGAACACCAGUCGCGAAGGCGCUUUACUGGAUCACUACUGACGCUGAGGGACGAAAGCCAGGGGAGCAAACGGGAUUAGAUACC